rnacentral:rRNA from 1 species
CCUACGGGGUGCACCAGUGGGGAAUAUUGGACAAUGGGCGCAAGCCUGAUCCAGCAAUGCCGCGUGAGUGAUGAAGGCCUUAGGGUUGUAAAGCUCUUUUACCCGGGAUGAUAAUGACAGUACCGGGAGAAUAAGCCCCGGCUAACUCCGUGCCAGCAGCCGCGGUAAUACGGAGGGGGCUAGCGUUGUUCGGAAUUACUGGGCGUAAAGCGCACGUAGGCGGCUUUGUAAGUUAGAGGUGAAAGCCCAGGGCUUAACCCUGGAAUUGCCUUUAAGACUGCAUCGCUAGAAUCGUGGAGAGGUGAGUGGAAUUCCGAGUGUAGAGGUGAAAUUCGUAGAUAUUCGGAAGAACACCAGUGGCGAAGGCGACUCACUGGACACGUAUUGACGCUGAGGUGCGAAAGCGUGGGGAGCAAACAGGAUUAGAUACCCCAGUAGUC